GCUGGGCGUGGUGGCACGUGCCUGUAGUCCCAGCUACUUGGGAGGCUGAGGUGGGAGGAUUGCUUGAGCCCAGGAGUUCUGGGCUGCAGUGCGCUAUGCCGAUCGGGUGUCUGCACUAAGCUCGGCAUCAAUAUGGUGACCUCCCAGGAGCAGGGGACCACCAGGUUGCCUAAGGAGGGGUGAACCGGCCCAGGUAGGAAAUGGUGCAGGUCAAAACUCCCGUACUGAUCAGUAGUGGGAUCACGCCUGUGACAAGCCAUUGCACUCCAGCCUGGGCAACACAGUGAGACCCCGUCUCU
rnacentral:SRP_RNA from 1 species